AACGUAGGUUCCGAGCGUUAUCCGGAUUUACUGGGCGUAAAGCGCGUUCAGGCGGUUUGGCAAGUCGGGCAUGAAAUCUCUCGGCUCAACCGGGAGAGGUUGUCCGAUACUGUUAGUACUGGAGGGCAGUAGAGGGUGGUGGAAUUCCGGGUGUAGUGGUGAAAUGCGUAGAGAUCCGGAGGAACACCAGUGGCGAAAGCGGCCACCUGGACUGCACCUGACGCUGAAACGCGAAAGCUAGGGGAGCGAACAGGA
rnacentral:rRNA from 1 species